ensembl:lncRNA
GUGUGAAUGGCACCCGAACCGGGUGGACAAAAGUCUACGACACCCCGAAUGAAAACCCUUCUAUGAAAUAGAAUGACCCUUAAGAACAGAAAAGAUAAGAAGACAAAAGAAAAAGCCAAAUACCAUUUGAAACAUGCUGACAGUUGAGCAAGAUCUGAUGCAGGCCUUCAACCUGUGAACAUACAGCUCUGCAGAGGUAUACUGACAGCACCGACUACAAUAAGGAGUCACAAAAGAAGAGAGAGCAGAGAGGUCCUUUACCUCCCUGAAUUCUGCAUUAAAGAGAAAGAGGGGCACAGAGAAAGAAUCUUUUCCAAUGUCAUACAGCCAUAAUAUACAGGUACCAAUCUAAUUAGGAGUCAAAGGUCACAUCCAGCGUCAGACUUCAGGCUGUUUCUGCAGGAAGCUAAAUGGAAGGAUAUGGUUAUGGGCAAUUUUUCUGAAGAACUUUAUGAGUUUUAUUUCCAUGUAUUAGUAGAAAUGAC